CUCUCGCUCACAAAAGGUACGCGACGGCAAGGGCGACAGAGGCCACCGAGGCCGCGAAGCUCACGGCCGCUGCGGCGCCGCCGUUCUUUUUAGAUUCGACCUUGUCCGCGGCGUCCUCCGUUGGCGCGUCGGCGGGGGCCAUGUCGGGCGAGUCCGCCGGGGGCGCGGGCGGGGAGUGCGAAGGGGACCUGGCCUUCUUCUUCUUCCUCUUGCCGGCGGCCUUGGGGGCGGGCGCCGGUGCGGAGCCUUCGGGAGCCGGGGCCGACGCGGGCACGUCGGCGGCCGGUCCGGGCGCCGGCGCCGGGGACGGCGCGCCGCCAAAGAGCACGUGCGGGAGCAGCACGCUGUCGACCGUGAGGAUGACCGUGGGGGGGUCGUCGAGCACGGUGGACGCGAUGCGGGACUUGUCCACGCCGGUGUCCAGCGUCACUUCGUCGCCGCUGGAGGCGACGGCGAGGUCGUACUUCCCCGCGGCGGUGGAGGCGAGGGUCGGGAUGCGGCCGCUGGCGACCUUGAGCGACGCCUUGGGCGCGUACUGCGGCAGCGCGUGGUACUGCAACAGCGCGACGAGGUCGGCGCUGGUGAGCUUGCUCAGAUCGGGCAGGUCCUUGGCCUUGAACGCGUCGUCGUUGGGCGCGAACAGGGUGAGCGCCUUGUCCAUGGCGGCCUGGUACGUCUUGACCACCCCGGACGACACGAUGAGGCGCGCGAACUGCUUGCACCCGGCCUUCUCGAGGAGGUCCGUGAUGUUGGCGGACGACGCCGACGGGGCGCCGAAGAGGCCGGGGAAGGUGAUGGGGUCGGAUACCUCGAGGACGGAGAGGUUGGACGGGAAGUCGGCGACGCGCUUGGUGUAGGUGGACUGGAACUUGGCGCCGGGCGCGGCGGACGCGAAGGCGACCUUGCCUCCGCGUAGGUCGGUGAUGUUGACGUGGCCCAUGUCGCCCGCGGCCUGGCCGGUGGUCUGGUAGAGCGAGGUGGUGAGCUGAGAGCUGGAGCCGAUGGAGUGCAGCUUCUUCUCGUCGAAGUAGUCGAGGAGGGUGAGGAGGCGGAGUGCGUUCUUGAUGUCGGCGAGGGAGAGGUUGGCGACGAGGGAGGACAUGGCGCCGUUGGUGAGGACGAGGACGGUGACCGAGCUCCGGCUAUUGAUCUCGUCGCACACCUUGGUCUCCGAGAGGUAGCUGUUGUACAGCGUGUACUCGGAGCGCCCGUCCAGGAUGGCCGUGAUGUUGUGGGCGGACGCCGCGGUGGCGGUGAGGCAGAGGACUAGCAGGAUUAGGCGGUGGGAGGCGGCCAUGGCGCUGUGGUGGCGGGCAGUGCCGCGGCCCGCUGCUGGGGUCUGGGGUAAGGAGGGGAACACGGCGCACACGCGAGAGGAAGGAAGGCGA
rnacentral:misc_RNA from 1 species